GACGAACGCUGGCGGCGUGCUUAACACAUGCAAGUCGAACGAUGAAGCCGGAGCUUGCUCCGGUGGAUUAGUGGCGAACGGGUGAGUAACACGUGAGCAAUCUGCCCUUGACUCUGGGAUAAUUGCGGGAAACUGUAGCUAAUACCGGAUACGACACCUUGGGGCAUCCCAGGGUGUGGAAAGAAUUUCGGUCAAGGAUGAGCUCGCGGCCUAUCAGCUAGUUGGUGAGGUAAUGGCUCACCAAGGCGACGACGGGUAGCCGGCCUGGGAGGGUGACCGGCCACACUGGAACUGAGACACGGUCCAGACUCCUACGGGAGGCAGCAGUGGGGAAUAUUGCACAAUGGGCGAAAGCCUGAUGCAGCAACGCCGCGUGAGGGAUGAAGGCCUUCGGGUUGUAAACCUCUUUUAGCAGGGAAGAAGCGAAAGUGACGGUACCUGCAGAAAAAGCACCGGCUAACUACGUGCCAGCCGCCGGGGUAA
rnacentral:rRNA from 1 species